rnacentral:SRP_RNA from 14 species
ACUGGUAGGGGUUAUGAUAGGUAUCAUAUGAUAUUAGGAGGCCAUUUUUUGCUGAUUUGACGGCGCCCAUCGUUGGUCAGCUGUUCUGUCAAAGGCUUUGCCUGGAGUCU